UAGCAGAUAUGUAUUUGAUUGUGCAUACUUGUUUGCAGGUGGUGGGAGCGAUCAACAUGUUCAGCUGCCUCAACUGCAGGAUCUUCAGGAUUACCAUCUACAGGUGGAACCAGCCCAGUGUUUUCUAAGCAUGAUUCAGAUUGCAGUGGAAGCCCACAACGGGAAUUGGAGCUGCUGCGUAAAGCUGUAGAACUUCAGAAGAAGUGUUCAGUGGAGGACCGACACGACAGAUUGACCUAUCCGCUGAUGCGAAUUGACAAAGAGGACUCAAAGGCCAUAACUGCGGUGUUGGAGAACCACUUAUUUGAGGUGACGGACGGAUUGGGCACUUCAUUGAUUUGAAGUACGAUAUAAAGUCUGCCUUGGCUUUGGAUCUCAUCACAAAUGCAUUCUGUCAGUUCCUCAAGGCUCUUCUCACAUCAUGUGGUGACAUUUGCGUCCAGUGUUAUAUAGCCCUGUCACAUGGAAGAGGUGGAGGAGACCAGCUUACUAAAAAGAAACACUGCCUCUAUUGCUGUCAUCAACAGCCAGCUGGCUGAAAUCAAGC